GAUGAACGCUGGCGGCGUGCCUAAUACAUGCAAGUCGAGCGAACAGACGAGGAGCUUGCUCCUCUGACGUUAGCGGCGGACGGGUGAGUAACACGUGAAUAACCUACCUAUAAUACUGGGAUAACUUCGGGAAACCGGAGCUAAUACCGGAUAAUAUAUUGAACCGCAUGGUUCAAUAGUGAAAUACGGUUUUGCUGUCACUUAUAGAUGGAUCCGCGCCGCAUUAGCUAGUUGGUAAGGUAACGGCUUACCAAGGCAACUAUGCGUAGCCGACCUGAGAGUGUGAUCGGCCACACUGGAACGGAGACACGGUCCAGACUCCUAAGGGAGGCAGCAGUAGGGAAUCUUCCGCAAUGGGCGAAAGCUUGACGGAGCAACGCCGCGUGAGUGAUGAAGGUCUUCGGAUCGUAAAACUCUGUUAUUAGGGAAGAACAAAUGUGUAAGUAAAUAUGCACGUCUUGACGGUACCUAAUCAGAAAGCCACGGCUAACUACGUG
rnacentral:rRNA from 1 species